rnacentral:rRNA from 2 species
CUCGGAUCAGGUAGGGAUACCCGCUGAACUUAAGCAUAUCAAUAA